rnacentral:lncRNA from 1 species
GCAAGGGACACGUUGUUAGGAAAGAAGUUGGUGAGUGGAAUUUUGGCAGAACAAGAGUUGGUCUAGAUCAUUUCGGAGAAGAUUUCUUUUACUCACGAGCGGCUGAAGACAGCUUUCAAAAAGCAGAGGAGUUAUGCGAACGCGAAGUGAGAGCACGUGGAGAUUUGUAUUAGAGAAGUAUGUAUUCGUAAGGCGUCUUAUAUGCAAGAAG